AUUGAACGCUGGCGGCAGGCCUAACACAUGCAAGUCGGACGGUAGCACAGGGGAGCUUGCUCCUCGGGUGACGAGUGGCGGACGGGUGAGUAAUGUCUGGGGAUCUGCCCGAUAGAGGGGGAUAACCACUGGAAACGGUGGCUAAUACCGCAUAAUGUCGCAAGACCAAAGAGGGGGACCUUCGGGCCUCUCACUAUCGGAUGAACCCAGAUGGGAUUAGCUAGUAGGCGGGGUAACGGCCCACCUAGGCGACGAUCCCUAGCUGGUCUGAGAGGAUGACCAGCCAAACUGGAACUGGGACACGGUCCAGACUCCUACGGGAGGCAGCAGUGGGGAAUAUUGCACAAUGGGCGCAAGCCUGAUACAGCCAUGCCGCGUGUAUGAAGAAGGCCUUCGGGUUGUAAAGUACUUUCAGCGGGGAGGAAGGCGAUGUGGUUAAUAACCGCGUCGAUUGACGUUACCCGCAGAAGAAGCACCGGCUAACUCCGUGCCAGCCGCCGCUGUAA
rnacentral:rRNA from 1 species